rnacentral:rRNA from 1 species
CCUACGGGAGGCAGCAGUGGGGAAUAUUGGGCAAUGGGCGCAAGCCUGACCCAGCAACGCCGCAUGAAGGAAGAAGGCUUUCGGGUUGUAAACUUCUUUUAUCAGGGACGAAGCAAGUGACGGUACCUGAUGAAUAAGCCACGGCUAACUGCGUGCCAGCAGCCGCGGUAAUACGUAGGUGGCAAGCGUUAUCCGGAUUUACUGGGUGUAAAGGGCGUGUAGGCGGGAGUGCAAGUCAGAUGUGAAAACUACGGGCUUAACUUGUAGACUGCAGUUGAAACUGGUUUUCUUGAGUGAAGUAGAGG